rnacentral:rRNA from 1 species
UACGUAGGGUGCGAGCGUUAAUCGGAAUUACUGGGCGUAAAGCGUGCGCAGGCGGCGCGUUAAGACAGGUGUGAAAGCCCCGAGCUUAACUUGGGAAUUGCGCUUGUGACUGGCGUGCUGGAGUGUGGCAGAGGGAGGUGGAAUUCCACGUGUAGCAGUGAAAUGCGUAGAGAUGUGGAGGAACACCGAUGGCGAAGGCAGCCUCCUGGGCCAGCACUGACGCUCAUGCACGAAAGCGUGGGGAGCAAACAGGAUAGAUA